rnacentral:lncRNA from 1 species
CUCAUUUUUAGCUCACCUGGCCGAAAGGCCAAGUGAGCUUUUCUCAUCACUUGGCGUCCGUCGUCCGUCCUGCGUUAACUUUUACAAAAAUCUUCUCCUCUGAAACUACUGGGCCAAAUUUAACCAAACUUGGCCAUAAUCAUCAUUGGGGUAUCUAGUUUAAAAAAUGUGUCCGGUGCCCCGCCCAACCAACCAAGAUGGCCGCCAUGGCUAAAAAUAGAACAUAGGGGUAAAAUGCAGUUUUUGGCUUAUAACUCAAAAACCAAAGCAUUUAGAGCAAAUCUGACAUGGGUAAAAUUGUUCAUCAGGUCAAGAUCUAUCUGCCCUGAAAUUUUUCAGAUGAAUCGGACAUUCCGUUGUUGGGUUGCUGCCCUGAAAUGGUAAUUUUAAAGGAAAUUUUGCUGUUUUUGGUUAUUAUCUUGAAUAUUAUUAUAGAUAGAGAUAAACUGUAAACAGCAAUAAUGUUCAGCAAAGUAAGAUCUACAAAUAAGUCAACAUGACCAAAAUGGUCAGUUGACCACUUUAGCAGUUAUUGCCCUUUAUAGUCAAUUUUUAACCAUUUUUCGUAAAUCUUAGUAAUCUUUUAGAAAAAUCUUCUCCUCUGAAACUACUGGGCCAAAUUUAACCAAACUUGGCCAUAAUCAUCAUUGGGGUAUUUAGUUUUAAAAAAUGUGUCCGGUGACCCGGCCAACCAACCAAGAUGGCCGCCAUGGCUAAAAAUAGAACAUAGGGGUAAAAUGCAGUUUUUGGCUUAUAACUCAAAAACCAAAGCAUUUAGAGCAAAUCUGACAUGGGGGAAAAAUUGUUCAUCAGGUCAAGAUCUAUCUGCCCUGAAAUUUUCAGAUGAAUCGGACAUUCCGUUGUUGGGUUGCUGCCCCUGAAAUGGUAAUUUUAAGGAAAUUUUGCUGUUUUUGGUUAUUAUCUUGAAUAUUAUUAUAGAUAGAGAUAAACUGUAAACAGCAAUAAUGGUCAGCAAAGUAAGAUCUACAAAUAAGUCAACAUGACCAAAAUGGUCAGUUGACCACUUUAGGAGUUAUUGUCCUUUAUAGUCAAUUUUUAACCAUUUUUCGUAAAUCUUAGUAAUCUUUUAGAAAAAUCUUCUCCUCUGAAACUACUGGGCCAAAUUUAACCAAACUUAGCCAUAAUCAUCAUUUGGGUAUCUAGUUAAAAAAAUGUGUCCGGUAACUCAGCCAACAAACCAAGAUGGCCGCCAUGGCUAAAAAUAGAACAUGGGGGUAAAAUACAGUUGUCAUGAAUCCAUCUGUGUCCAUUGUUUAAUAUUCACAUAGACCAAG